AUUGAACGCUGGCGGCAUGCCUUACACAUGCAAGUCGAACGGCAGCACGGGAGCUUGCUCCUGGUGGCGAGUGGCGAACGGGUGAGUAAUACAUCGGAACGUACCCAGGAGUGGGGGAUAACGCAGCGAAAGUUACGCUAAUACCGCAUAUUCUGUGAGCAGGAAAGCGGGGGAUCGCAAGACCUCGCGCUCUUGGAGCGGCCGAUGUCGGAUUAGCUAGUUGGUGAGGUAAAAGCUCACCAAGGCGACGAUCCGUAGCAGGUCUGAGAGGAUGAUCUGCCACACUGGGGCUGAGACACGGCCCAGACUCCUACGGGAGGCAACAGUGGAGAAUUUUGGACAAUGGGGGCAACCCUGAUCCAGCCAUGCCGCGUGAGUGAAGAAGGCCUUCGGGUUGUAAAGCUCUUUCGGCGGGGAAGAAAUGGCAACGGCUAAUAUCCGUUGUUGAUGACGGUACCCGCAUAAGAAGCACCGGCUAACUACGUGCCAGCAGCCGCCGCCG
rnacentral:rRNA from 1 species